rnacentral:rRNA from 1 species
AUUCCGCGUGAGUGAAGAAGGCCUUCGGGUUGUAAAGCUCUUCAGCAGGAACGAAACGGUGGCCACUAAUACUGGCUACUAAUGACGGUACCUGAAGAAGAAGCACCGGCUAACUACGUGCCAGCAGCCGCGGUAAUACGUAGGGUGCGAGCGUUAAUCGGAAUUACUGGGCGUAAAGCGUGCGCAGGCGGUUCCAUAAGACAGAUGUGAAAUCCCCGGGCUUAACCUGGGAACUGCGUUUGUGACUGUGGGACUCGAGUGUGGCAGAGGGGGGUGGAAUUCCACGUGUAGCAGUGAAAAUGCGUAGAGAUGUGGAGGAACACCGAUGGCGAAGGCAGCCCCCUGGGUCAACACUGACGCUCAUGCACGAAAGCGUGGGGAGCAAACAGGAUUAGAUACCCUGGUAGUCCACGCCCUAAACGAUGCGAACUAGGUGUUGGGGAAGGAGACUUUCUUAGUACCGCAGCUAACGCGUGAAGUUCGCCGCCUGGGGAGUACGGCCGCAAGGUUAAAAACUCAAAGGAAUUGACGGGG